CACGUGUGCAUCUAAUAAACGUGCUUGUUUUUGCCACUGCCAGGCUCAGGUUGGUUUCAGGAGCGUCUGACGACAUUACAGGACUCUGAAACAAACAAAAGAUCGUUGGGUCUCCAGUAACCGUGCUGACCAGGAUGAAGAUGAAAUCCUACACCUAAGUGCUCACAUCUAAAGAAAAAUGCUGUUCCCUGAGUGGAGAGACCUGCUGCAGACAGAGUGCAGCUGACAAUCAGUGACUUCAUUCACCAACGGGCUCCACUGCCACUGACGCUAAUUCAACGUGUUGAAUCACCACAAAAAGCCAACAGGGGCCUACGAGGG